CUUCUUAAAACGCAAUAAAAUAAUGGUACGGAUUUAUUCAGGAUACUUAAUGUUAUUAUUCAUUGCUUCAAUCCUCACUUGUUCUUCAAUAAUUUAUGGAAAAGCAAUUCCAGGUCCAGAAGGUGUUUCUACUUAUCAACUUGCUUUGAAAGACAUAGUAGUAGCAAGCGCCUUUAUCGUUACGCCAGCAGCAGGAUGAUAAAUGAGAUCGAACACAC